CUUUUUUAACGUUUUAAGGUAUGAUUGCGCUUCGUAUCUGCAUUUGGAGAGGCAUCUCAUCAGACUGUGUAUAUUCCAGCUGCCAGA